GUCAGCAUGGUGCAGUGGUUUGAGCAUUGGACUAUAAUUUUGGAGACCAGGGUUUGAUUCCCAGUUCGGCCU